rnacentral:rRNA from 1 species
CCCUUAGAUGUCCGGGGCUGCACGCGCGCUACAAUGGUCGGAGCAGAAUGAAAAGAGACGGCUCCGCGAGGCGGGAGCGUCCUUCGGGGCCUCCCGUUCUUAAUGGUUGACCGUUCCCCGGGUCGACGGGCCCGGGAGAUCGGCUGGAACCUCGAUCGUGAUCGGGACAGAGUCUUGUAAUUGUUACUCUCAAACGAGGAAUUCCUAGUAGGCGCGAGUCAUGACCUCGCGUCGACUGCGUCCCUGCCCUUUGUACACACCGCCCGUCGCUCCUACCGAUUGAAUGCUCAGGUGAGCCAUUCGGACUUUCAUCAUGCUGGUUUCCAGUUUUGAUGAAGGAAAGUCUUGCGAACCUUAUCAUUUAGAGGAAGGAGAAGUCGUAACA